UUUCCAGACUCCUACGGGAGGCAGCAGUGAGGAAUAUUGGUCAAUGGUCGGGAGACUGAACCAGCCAAGCCGCGUGAGGGAGGAAGGUACAGAGUAUCGUAAACCUCUUUUGUCAGGGAACAAAGACUGGGACGCGUCCCCGGAUGAGUGUACCUGAAGAAAAAGCAUCGGCUAACUCCGUGCCAGCAGCCGCGGUAAUACGGAGGAUGCGAGCGUUAUCCGGAUUUAUUGGGUUUAAAGGGUGCGUAGGCGGUUUUUUAAGUUAGUGGUUAAACGUCGGGGCUUCACCUUGAUUUGCCAUUAAUACUGUAAGACUCGAGUUCAGACGAGGUAGGCGGAAUAAGUUAAGUAGCGGUGAAAUGCUUAGAUAUAACUUAGAACUCCGAUAGCGAAGGCAGCUUACCAGACUGCGACUGACGCUGAAGCACGAGAGCGUGGGUAGCGAACAGGAUUAGAUACCCCAGUA
rnacentral:rRNA from 1 species